rnacentral:rRNA from 1 species
UACAGAGGGGGCAAGCGUUGUUCGGAAUUACUGGGCGUAAAGGGCGCGUAGGCGGCCCGCUAAGUCGAACGUGAAAUCCCCGAGCUCAACUCGGGAACUGCGUCCGAUACUGGCGGGCUUGAAUCCGGGAGAGGGAUGCGGAAUUCCUGGUGUAGCGGUGAAAUGCGCAGAUAUCAGGAGGAACACCGAUGGCGAAGGCAGGUCUCUGGGCCGAUACUGACGCUGAGGAGCGAAAGCGUGGGGAGCGAACAGG